UUUUUUCGUUAUAAAGCAUGCAUGACUUGUGUUUCUUCGCUUCAACGUGUAAUUUCUAUUUUAUAGAAUUCGACUAGUUCUUCCCUUGCCAUGCAAGAAGGUAUGUGUUGGAGAGGCUCGGUUUCGUAGACCAGAAAAGUAUGGAGAGGAGGAGAGGUAACGAGAGGACUAUACAUGGUCGCAUGUUUGAGAUCAAAGUAAUGACAUCGGUUUUUAACAUAGAAAUAGGGUGCCCAAAUUGGGAAG
rnacentral:lncRNA from 1 species